GGCCGUCUAGCUCAGUUGGUUAGAGCGUCGUGCUAAUAUUGAGGGGAUCCCCUCGGGUACGCGAAGGUCUUGGGUUCGACCCCCACGAUGGCCA